UAUCGUUUUUCAGGAGAGAAUUGUUCUUAGGCUUAUCAAAUUUUGCACAAAUCGUUUGGCAAACGAAUAGCCCAGCAAUCACCGAAGGCGCAAUGUACCCCUUAUAAUCGCUCAGGUAAACGGACUGAAAAACUUAA
rnacentral:ncRNA from 1 species